rnacentral:tRNA from 1 species
GAAAUCCGUUGAAUUUAGAAAUUGGGGGGGUUCAAGUCCCUUUAUCCCCA